UACAGAGGUCUCAAGCGUUUGUUCGGAUUCAUUGGGCGUAAAGGGUGCGUAGGUGGCGCGCUAAGUCAGGUGUGAAAUUUCGGAGCUUAACUCCGAAACUGCAUUCGAUACUGCGGUGCUUGAGGACUGGAGAGGAGACUGGAAUUUACGGUGUAGCAGUGAAAUGCGUAGAGAUCGUAAGGAAGACCAGUGGCGAAGGCGGGUCUCUGGACAGUUCCUGACCACUGAGGCACGAAGGCCAGGGGAGCAAACGGG
rnacentral:rRNA from 1 species